AGAAUCUCUGAUCCAGAGAGUUUAGUUAGUGUGUGGGUGUGGGUAGAAAAGCUCACCUGAACAGGGGAGGAGCUAAGGAGGUGAUAAAAGGCUGUGUGUUCUCCACAGAUCCCCCUUUGUUCUCAGCCAUGCUGCCACACCAAUUCUGUGACAGAGUAUUACUCCUUUUAGGCCUUCGGUGGAUGCAUAAAAAUAAAAUCAUCCAUUUACCCAUUCAUCCAUUCGUCCAUUCAUCCCUUCACCCAUUCAUCCUUC